rnacentral:rRNA from 1 species
AUUGAACGCUGGCGGCAGGCCUAACACAUGCAAGUCGAGCGGUUGAAGGGAGCUUGCUCCCUGAUUCAGCGGCGGACGGGUGAGUAAUGCCUAGGAAUCUGCCUAUUAGUGGGGGACAACGUUUCGAAAGGAACGCUAAUACCGCAUACGUCCUACGGGAGAAAGCAGGGGACCUUCGGGCCUUGCGCUAAUAGAUGAGCCUAGGUCGGAUUAGCUUGUUGGUGCGGUAAUGGCUCACCAAGGCGGCGAUCCGUAACUGGUCUGAGAGGAUGAUCAGUCACACUGGAACUGAGACACGGUCCAGACUCCUACGGGAGGCAGCAGUGGGGAAUAUUGGACAAUGGGCGAAAGCCUGAUCCAGCCAUGCCGCGUGUGUGAAGAAGGUCUUCGGAUUGUAAAGCACUUUAAGUUGGGAGGAAGGGUUGUAGAUUAAUACUCUGCAAUUUUGACGUUACCGACAGAAUAAGCACCGGCUAACUCUGUGCCAGCAGCCGCGGUAAAAC